GAUGAACGCUCGCGGCGUGCCUAAUACAUGCAAGUCGAGCGAACAGACGAGGAGCUUGCUCCUCUGACGUUAGCGGCGGACGGGUGAGUAACACGUGGAUAACCUACCUAUAAGACUGGGAUAACUUCGGGAAACCGGAGCUAAUACCGGAUAAUAUAUUGAACCGCAUGGUUCAAUAGUGAAAGACGGUUUUGCUGUCACUUAUAGAUGGAUCCGCGCCGCAUUAGCUAGUUGGUAAGGUAACGGCUUGCCAAGGCAACGAUGCGUAGCCGACCUGAGAGGGUGAUCGGCCACACUGGAACUGAGACACGGUCCAGACUCCUACGGGAGGCAGCAGUAGGGAAUCUUCCGCAAUGGGCGAAAGCCUGACGGAGCAACGCCGCGUGAGUGAUGAAGGUCUUCGGAUCGUAAAACUCUGUUAUUAGGGAAGAACAAAUGUGUAAGUAACUAUGCACGUCUUGACGGUACCUAAUCAGAAAGCCACGGCUAACUACGUG
rnacentral:rRNA from 1 species